rnacentral:ncRNA from 1 species
GACAGAGGUGCGGCUUCCAUCAGUACCUUCGAAAAGCGCCGGAAAGCGCGGAGCGAAAGGGGACGCCGCCGAAGGGCUUUGCGGGUUUCCGACCGCUUUGCCCUGGGGCGCGGGAGAACAUUCCGCGCACUGUCGCGCAGCGGAGUGCUGU